GGUACCUGGAGGAGUGGGGAGGAGCCUGUGGGAUAACAGGCGGAGAGAGACUCACAGGGUGCCUUUCAAGUGGAAGUCAGGGAAGAUCAUGUAAACCUCAAGAAAGCUAUGGUGGAAAUAGCAAGAGAACUGGAAUUAGAAGUGAAGCCUGAAGAUGUGACUAAAUUGUUGCUGCAAUCUCAUGAUAAAACUUGAAUGGAGGCCGGGUGCGGUGGCUCACGCCUGUAAUCCCAGCACUUUGGGAGCCCCAGGUGGGUGGAUCACCUGAGGUCAGGAGUUCGAGACCGGCCUGGCCAAUGUGGCAAAACCCCUUCUCUACUAAAAGUACAAAAAUUAGCCAGACGUGGUGGCAUGCGCCUAUAAUCCCAGCUACUCGGGAGGCUGAGGCAGGAGAAUUGCUGGAACCUGGGAGGCAGAGGUUGCAGUGAGCUGAGAUCGUGCCACUGCACUCCAGCCUAGGCAACAGAGCGAGAUUCCAGCUCAAAAAAGAAAAGAAAAAAAGCCAAACUUGAAUGGAUUGAAUGGAUGAGGAGUUGCUUCUUAUGAAUGAGCAAAGCAAGUGAUUUCUUCAUAUGGAAUCUGUUCCUGGUGAAGAUGCUGUGAUCAUUAUUAAAAGACAACAAAGGAUUUAGAAUAUUACAUAAACUUAGUUGAUAAAGCAAUGGCAGAGUUUGAGAAGAUUGACUCCAAUUUUGAAAAAAGGUCUACUGUGGCAAGAUGUUAUCAAACAGCAUCAUAUGCCAUGGAAAAAAUCUUUGUGAAAGAGUCAAUCAGUGUAUCAAACUUCAUUGCUAUCUUAUUUUAGAAAAUUGCCACAGCCACCCUAACCUUCAGUAACUACCAUCCUGAUCGAUCAGCAGCUGUUAAAUUGAGGUUUCAUUUAAAUAUGACACCAUGGUUUGGAGUCCUAAGCCAUAAACAAUAAGCCAGAAUGAUUCUGCAGCUUUCAAAAGAAGAAAAGUCUGCAAACUUUGCAUGGAAACACACCACACAGCAUUUCUGAUGUCUUUACUGUCCCCUGGUCAUUGUCUUGUGCCCAUUGGAGGAGGCAUGUUUUAGGGUAUCAGUAGUGGAAGCAGGUGCAGCAGAAGUACAUCAGAGCCAGAUUAGGAAGUGAGGACAGAGUCAAGGGGCAAAGCCAACUUGUCGCAUGUCAGAACAGAAGAUGCCAAGAACUGAGAAGGGUGGAUUAUAGAUUUGGAGGCAUGGAAUGGGAGAACUAAUAUUAUAGGAUAAAACUGGAUGGCAAAGGCUGAAGACUUGGGGGUGUCAGGAAUAUUUCUGAAUUUAAAUGAUGGGUUCUGAACUAAUAAUUGUGGUUCAGACCCCAUUCACCAGAUUUGAAUGCAUCUCAGGAAGUAGGAGACUGGGGAGAAGAACUUUUAAAGAGCCACAUGCCUGCCUUUCUGCUCGGGUUCUGAGAUUCUUGAGGCAUUAUUGUCUCUGAAGGAAAUAAACAAUUGUUACCUUGUAAA